rnacentral:rRNA from 1 species
UGCGAGUCGAGCGANNNNNUCCUUCGGGAACGAGUAGAGCGGCGAACUGGUGAGUAAUACGUAAGAAUUUACCCUUUAGUGAAGAAUACCUUUAAGAAAUUAGAGUUAAUACUGCAUAAGUCCAUCCUGAAAAAGGAUGGAGAAAGGUGGCCUCUUGCUGCCGCUAAGGGAUAAGCUUGCGUCCUAUUAGUUAGUUGGUGGGGUAAAAGCCUACCAAGACAGUGAUGGGUAGUCGGCCUGAGAGGGUGUACGGCCACAUUGGAACUGUGAUACGGUCCAGACUCCUACGGGAGGCAGCAGUGGGGAAUCUUGCGCAAUGGGCGAAAGCCUGACGCAGCGACGCCGCGUGGAGGAUGACGGUUUUCGGAUUGUAAACUCCUGUUAAGUAGGAAGAAAGAGUAAAGCUUAAUACGCUUUAAAGAUGACGGUACUACUAGAGAAAGCACCGGCAAACUUCGUGCCAGCAGCCGCGGUAAUACGAGGGGUGCAAACGUUAUUCGGAGUUACUGGGCGUAAAGGGAGCGCAGGCGGUUCAUUAAGUUAGGCGUGAAAGCCCCGGGCUCAACCUGGGAACUGCGCUUAAUACUGAUGAGCUAGAAAACAGGAGAGGGUAGUGGAAUUUCCAGUGUAGAGGUGAAAUUCGUAGAUAUUGGAAAGAACACCGGUGGCGAAAGCGGCUACCUGGCCUGANUUUGACGCUGANGCUCGAAAGCGUGGGGAGCAAACANNANUAGAUACCCUGGUAGUCCACGCCGUAAACGAUGACAGCUAGAUGUCGGGGGGNCGCCCCUCGGUGUCGCCGCUAACGCAUUNANCUGUCCGCCUGGGNNGUACGGUCGCAAGANUAAAACUCAA